UACGGAGGGGGCUAGCGUUGUUCGGAAUUACUGGGCGUAAAGCGCACGUAGGCGGAUUGGAAAGUCAGAGGUGAAAUCCCAGGGCUCAACCUUGGAACUGCCUUUGAAACUCCCAGUCUUGAGUUCGAGAGAGGUGAGUGGAAUUCCGGAGUGUAGAGGUGAAAUUCGUAGAUAUUCGGAGGAACACCAGUGGCGAAGGCGGCUCACUGGCUCGAUACUGACGCUGAGGUGCGAAAGCGUGGGGAGCAAACAGG
rnacentral:rRNA from 1 species